CUCCGCGGGGCCCGCCAUCGCGUCCAACGCCCAAGCCGGCCCCAAAUCCAACUGCUCCCCUUCCCGGGCCGCUCAGCUGAGCUGACGGCCUCGCCGGUCUCCUCUCCAGUCUCCCCUGCCUCCGGCGGAUCGCGCGUCGUCUCGCCUCGCUGCGACCAAGCUCCCCACGACGACCAGCGGUUCUCCUCUCCGGUGGUGGACACUUUUGGACCAAUUGAAGUAAACUACCCGGAAUUUCAUUGGGCAAACUUAUGAGCACGGUGGAGGAAGAUGGCUAUAGUUCACGGUGCGACCUGUGCGAUACAGAGGUCAUACACAGCAUGACGGAACUCCUGCUUCAGGGAUUGGCCACUGCUUCGGUGGACAGCACCACCGGCGAUAUAUUCAAGAGUGCAUCUUCUGUAGCUGUCGCUGUGAAGGCCGAGCUAGAAAAUUACAUGCUUGUGAGAACCGAAGCGCUUGUUCGUGAAUCGGUGGUUGGAGAUGAGGACCAUUCGGAACAAUUAAUGAAAGCAUCAACAAGGCCGACUGAGUUCCUGUCAGACUUGAUUGAUGACUUUGUGGCUUUGAAAAAGAAUGUGCUGAGCCAUGUGUCCGGGUUUUUGUCUAGUGAAAGCCGCUUGAACAAAAUUAAAGAUUUUAUGCAAAAGAUGGAGACUGAGAAUGUGUGGGCACUGGACGCAAGGAAGGCUACCGCAGAGACUAUUCUUGUGAGCAUAGAUAUGAAAUGCAUUUUCCAUUGCCCCGAGAGAUUCGUUGAGCAAGAUAAGCUAGCUGACCACAGAAGUCAGUGCAAAUUUAGGGUAGUGGACUGCAAAAAUGAUGGAUGUUCAGCUUCAUUUUCUGCCAUUCAUAUUGAGGACCAUGACUCCAUCUGUCCGUUUAAGGCCCUGCCAUGUGACCAGCUGUGCGAGCAACAUGUUAUGCGUUGUGAGAUGGACAGACAUUGUGCAACAGUUUGCCCUAUGAAGCUUAUUAACUGUCCUUUUUACCACGUUGGAUGCGAAACAGCCUUUCCACAGGGUAAUCUUGAUAAUCAUUGUUCUAAGCUACUUCAAACACAUAUGUUGUAUGUUCUCCAAGCAACCACAAGACAGAAUGCUACCGUUAAUGAUAUGAAUCAACGGUUACAACUCCUUGAGAAGGCUCAGUCACUUAACGAAAUGUCUGGGGCUUUAGAUGUCAGGUCCCUCACUCUGAUAAUAAAGGAGCAAGAAGCAAAGAUCAAGAAACUCGAGCACGAUAUCAAAACACAAGAGGCAAAGAUGAAGAAGCUUGAGAAUGAGUUUAGGUCAAGGAAUGCAUGAUAAUUGGAAAUCAAGUUGCACCAGUCCCUCAAGAUGUUUAGAUUUUUCCUUUUCUUUUGAAGCUUGUAUCAAACAUCAACUUUGACCUAUUUUGUUGGAAAUGAAAUGGAAUGCCUCCAACUCUCCAUGGUCUGAAGCGUCUUUGUGUGGAUGCAAUUCCAUAUGUGGCUUUCCACACAGCUUUUCUUGGAUGUCUCCACAACGUCAUUGUUGGCUUGGCUGUUUCACAGCUUCCAGGAUGUGAUCACAAUCACCAUAUAAAAUCUUGCAAACUUGUUUGUACUGCGCUUGUAUAUGUGCAUGGCAGUCUGUACAUGAUUUUCAUAUGCAGGUUUUCACGGCGAAGAUGCCAUCACAAUCUCGUCACUGUCCUGGCUAUUUGACUCGGAUCGGAGGAAAUAAUCACAAGCAGCCUCUAAAAUCUUGCAAACUUCUCUCCUGUACUGCACCAGAAUACCAGAUCAUGUCAAAACAAACCAUCAAAUAGUGUUUUUGAUUAGAUCAAUAUUGGUUUCUUUAUUUAUUACACAAUUUUAUUGGUCAUUAUAACUAGAGGUAGUUGUGUGAUGCAUAUCAACUUGGAGUCACUUUAUCAUAUUUUUGUCACAUUCCUAAUUUGACAGUAGUAGUGACUGAAAGCCAAAUUGGUCCAAGAAAUUAGGAUUCUGAAGUCUAAAUUGCUGUCCUUCCUUUUUCUUAUGUUAUGGAGAUGUGAAAUGUCAGUGGUACAUAUUCUUUAGCUAGGAGACCAUAUCGAAUAUGUUGUUGCAUACCUCAUCAGUUGCUCCAGAUUUUAUUCUGGAUUGCAAUAUGCACCAUUUCUUCAUGUUUACCCCUGUUAUGUGCAGAAAAUAAUGUAAUAUUAUCGUAAAUAUGUUUCGACUGAAUAGAUUUAAUGGAAGUCCAGUUUAACUAACCAAUCUUUAUAUUCACUUGACAUGUUGAACUGGAGGUUGUUCUUAGCGACCACCUGCUGUGGAUCUGUAAGAAAGGGAAGAACUUCUGCAAGAUAAGUCAUAUCAGAAUAUGAAAUGGAUUAUACAUCAGAAGAAUUAGCAAAACGAAGUGGGAUGCUCACACUGGUUACAUCUGCAAGAACAUGUUCAUUGAUGAAAGAAGUACAUGUGCUCUCACCUGCAUGUGGGGACAACAAGCAUAAAUAUCAGGCAAUUUCCACAAGACGAAGUGGAAAGAUAUGAAAUGAUAAAGCUUGAACACUUUCUGGAUACCUUUUUUUCAGCCUCCAAGGUUGCUUCAUAACUUCGUAGUGCAAUCUCUAGAGCUCUAAAUCAUGGAAGCUGAAAAACAAUGCACAUGAGUUAUUUCUUGGAGUUAUUGUGAGAUGCUACGUCUGCUACUGGUUUACUUGUACAGGAGUACUUCAGCUUGAAAACGGAUACAUUGAUUUGUAUGUCAGCUCUUUCAACCAAAAGAAGGCAGAUGCUGAAGCCAGAAAAGAGCUAUAUGGUUUGCAUACCUCGUCUAUGUCUUGUAAUGGAAUAAUCACCUAAAGAAUUCAGAUAUUAGAGAAGGAACUCAAUGAAAAAUUGGUCUAAAAUUUCUUCUCACUAAUUUCAUACUGUUACCUAUUGGUUUCGGUACCUUAUUUGUGCCAUGUAGGUACUAAUAUUUAUAUAAGCGGGGAUAACAACUAAAUUUCUACAGAUUUUCUGAGGCAGAUGAGAUGUGUUUGUCUCCAGUAUUCACCAAUUAUAAAUCAAGCAGCAAUAUUAAGUUGAAAGGAGCCAUUUUCGGAAGAAUUGCUUACAUUCAAUUGUUUGGAGAAUACGUUAGAGUGGAAGCACAGAUGCCAUUGGGAGAUGUACAUACGGCCAUGGUGCAAGAAACACCUCUCCAGAGCACAGGAGUAACUUUGGUGAACAAUCUGAAAGCAUAAGAAUAAAUCGGAUGUGUCAGAAAUUAUCAGUUCCGAUGAGUAUGGUGCAUGUCUGCAUAUGUAAUUAUAAUUUGUCGAGAGUAAGUACUUCAUCAUGGGGAAGUUUAUAUAUGGUUUGCAGAGGGCCAAUGCCUUCAAUCA